rnacentral:lncRNA from 10 species
AUAGGUGACAAAAAAGAAGACACACAGAAACACAGAGGAGAAGGCCAUGUGAAGAUGGAAGCAGAGGUUAGAGUGAUGCAGCCAUAAGCCAAGAAAUGCCAGGGAGGAAGUUCCUCUACCCAGGAGAGAGGCAUGGAACGGAUUCUCCCCAAGAGUCUUCAGAAGGAAACAACCCUGCCCACACCUUGACUUUGGACUUCUGGCCUUCAGAACGUGGCCUGUGAGGUGUGCUGUCAUGCCCUAUUGGAGAGGAAGAUAUGAAGAGGCUUUGAGGGAUUAAGCAACUGGUCAGCAUCACACAGCUAGUAAAGGGACUUCUAGAAUUUGAACCUAAGUGUCUCUGACUCCAAAUCUUUAUCUAACUCGUAAUCAGCACCCUAUUCUCUCUCCUCCUUUGAGUAAUCAUAUAAUCACAGACCUGCAGAGCCUUCAUGUUGGAAGUGCCAUGAGAGAUCGCCUAGAUUAGGAGUGAGGUUUGUUUACAUACCAAGGCCUCACAGUAUGAUUUUUAUCUGAUAUGGGGCUGGGAUCCAGUGUUUACCAUGAAGACACCUUCCACAGCCCUUUAGUUUUGCGGAGGCAAAGAUAGCCUCUGGUGAUCUGCAUGGAGAGGAUUUAAUUGCUUCCAUUUUUCUUUUAAGAGCAAAGAGCUUUCUAGGAAAAAUAGCAGUAUUUCAAAGGUCAAGUCUGAUGGCUUGUGGGAAGAGCAGGAGAGAUUGAUUUAUGGGGAUUGGAACAGAAAACAUGGUGUCCGUAUGGCAAUGAGACAAAUAAAAUACCAGGGCUUGGCUGACUGUAUUCAAAUUCUUGUCUGUGUGAGCCCUGGCUAGGGAGGGCUCCAAAUAAUGUUCAAGUCAUUUAGUUGGAGACUGAGACUGGCAUUUGCAAGAAGGAUAGAAAAAUUUAAAGCUAGAGUGGACAGGAAAUAAAGGAUACUUUGGUUAGGAUUAAAACUGGGACUCUACUUAAUUUAUUCAUGCAGUCAACGGAUCUUUUUGAGCCCUUGCUAUGUGCCAGGCAUUGUACUGGACAGAGGAGAAACAACAGGAAUUCCAACUUAUGUGGUCCUAGCCAGGCUGCAUGGAGCUCACAGCCAAGUCAGGGAGACAGAUAUUGGCCAAAUAAACACAAAUUAGUUGUUUAAUUACAAUU